rnacentral:rRNA from 1 species
UGCGUAGGCGGAUUAAUAAGUCAGUGGUGAAAGCCCCCGGCUCAACCGGGGAACUGCCAUUAAUACUGUCAUUCUUGAGUAUAGUUGAAGUGGGCGGAAUGUAUCAUGUAGCGGUGAAAUGCUUAGAUAUGAUACAGAACACCGAUAGCGUAGGCAGCUUGCUAAACUAUAACUGACGCUCAGGCACGAAAGCGUGGGGAGCAAACAGGAUUAGAUACCCUGGUAGUCC